UUCCAGACUCCUACGGGAGGCAGCAGUGGGGAAUAUUGCACAAUGGGGGGAACCCUGAUGCAGCGACGCCGCGUGGGUGAAGGAGUAUUUCGGUAUGUAAAGCCCUAUCAGCAGGGAAGAACAAUGACGGUACCUGACUAAGAAGCACCGGCUAAAUACGUGCCAGCAGCCGCGGUAAUACGUAUGGUGCAAGCGUUAUCCGGAUUUACUGGGUGUAAAGGGAGCGUAGACGGCAGUGCAAGUCUGGAGUGAAAGCCCGUGGCUUAACUACGGGACUGCUCUGGAAACUGGGCAGCUAGAGUGCAGGAGAGGCAGGCGGAAUUCCUAGUGUAGCGGUGAAAUGCGUAGAUAUUAGGAGGAACACCAG
rnacentral:rRNA from 1 species